GACGAACGCUGGCGGCGUGCCUAAUACAUGCAAGUAGAACGCUGAAGCUUGGUGCUUGCACCGAGCGGAUGAGUUGCGAACGGGUGAGUAACGCGUAGGUAACCUGCCUGGUAGCGGGGGAUAACUAUUGGAAACGAUAGCUAAUACCGCAUAAUAGUAGAUGUUGCAUGACAUUUGCUUAAAAGGUGCAAUUGCAUCACUACCAGAUGGACCUGCGUUGUAUUGCUAGUUGGUGAGGUAACGGCUCACCAAGGCAACGAUACAUAGCCGACCUGAGAGGGUGAUCGGCCACACUGGGACUGAGACACGGCCCAGACUCCUACGGGAGGCAGCAGUAGGGAAUCUUCGGCAAUAGACGGAAGUCUGACCGAGCAACGCCGCGUGAGUGAAGAAGGUUUUCGGAUCGUAAAGCUCUGUUGUAAGAGAAGAACGAGUGUGAGAGUGGAAAGUUCACACUGUGACGGUAUCUUACCAGAAAGGGACGGCUAACUACGUG
rnacentral:rRNA from 1 species